rnacentral:lncRNA from 1 species
UUAUAAUUACAUCCCAGCUCCUUUGUUCUAACAGGGGUGAUCUGAGCCGGAUCACUCCUACCAGAUCACCCCAGUUUAAGUUUCUUUGUUAUGCAUGCUUUCCUUUGUUCUGUAACAUUUUGGCGGGAAUGUCAAAUCCAGUAUAAAACUUAUAAUUAAUUAUACAUAGAAGACUAUCUAUCAAAAUUCACGUAGAAAAAAUCCAGUGUAUAUGCUGGGAUUCGAACUCAAGACCUUUAGCAUAUCAAGCCACGACACAUACCACUUAGCCAGGACGACUCGAUACGAACUGUAAGAAAAUUAAUAUACUUAAAGGAAGCAAGAUAUUUUUAUAACUGGGGCGAGUUGGCAGACCUUUAUUCAGUGGGGUUUAAACCAUUUUCGUUAAAUAAAUGAGUUGUCAGACUGAUUGUUCAAUUUGAUUUUACACUUUUUUAAAGUUGGGCGAGUCGGUCACAAGAGUGGGGCGAUUUUUUCAUAAAGUGGCGAUAUAGUGUGGGCCGAUUGGCCAGUGGGGCGAGUUGACAUUGUUUGAUAUCUACUUAUGUGUUAGGGGGUCAUAAAGGGUAUACAUCAUAUAGUAAUAUAUAAAGUAUAUAAUAAUGGUUGUGUGGCGUUCUAAACUAGAUUUUAUGAAUUGUAAAUGGUUUUUCGUCUAAUCUAAAACAACUGGGAUGUAAAAUAGUUAUCCCAUUCGGACUUGGUGUGUCAGUGUAAGAUCACCCUCUGGCCUCCGGCCAUCGGGAUGAUCUUACACUGACACACCGCGUCCUUAUGGGAUAACUAUUAAUUACAUCCCAGCUCCUUUGUUCUAACAGGGGUGAUCUGAGCCGGAUCACUCCUACCAGAUCACCCCAGUUUAAGUUUCUUUGUUAUGCAUGCUUUCCUUUGUUCUGUAACAUUUUGGCGGGAAUGUCAAAUCCAGUAUAAAACUUAUAAUUAAUUAUACAUAGAAGACUAUCUAUCAAAAUUCACGUAGAAAAAAUCCAGUGUAUAUGCUGGGAUUCGAACUCAAGACCUUUAGCAUAUCAAGCCACGACACAUACCACUUAACCAGGACGACUCGAUACGAACUGUACGAAAAUUAAUAUACUUAAAGGAAGCAAGAUAUUUUUAUAACUGGGGCGAGUUGGCAGACCUUUAUUCAGUGGGGUUUAAACCAUUUUCGUUAAAUAAAUGAGUUGUCAGACUGAUUGUUCAAUUUGAUUUUACACUUUUUUAAAGUUGGGCGAGUCGGUCACAAGAGUGGGGCGAUUUUUUCAUAAAGUGGCGAUAUAGUGUGGGCCGAUUGGCCAGUGGGGCGAGUUGACAUUGUUUGAUAUCUACUUAUGUGUUAGGGGGUCAUAAAGGGUAUACAUCAUAUAGUAAUAUAUAAAGUAUAUAAUAAUGGUUGUGUGGCGUUCUAAACUAGAUUUUAUGAAUUGUAAAUGGUUUUUCGUCUAAUCUAAAACAACUGGGAUGUAAAAUAGUUAUCCCAUUCGGACUUGGUGUGUCAGUGUAAGAUCACCCUCUGGCCUCCGGCCAUCGGGAUGAUCUUACACUGACACACCG